rnacentral:lncRNA from 1 species
UUUGAUAAAAAUUACUGAUUUGAUAAGUAUUCUAUAACACAUUUGAAAUUCAUGUUUAGAAUCUUUCAUUAUUUAUACAUACAAUCAAAAAUGAGAUGGGGAUCUAAUGUAGAAGAAUUUGCUAUAAUAAUAAUGACCUGUUUAAAAUCUAUAUUUCAUGUAUUAAUAGUCUGUGUAGUGUUUUUUGCAAAUUUGUAUGUAUUAUACAACAUACACAUUUUAUGCGAAAUCGAACAAGUUUGAAUAAAAAAAAUGAAAUAAAGAAUUUACAGUACUUUAA